rnacentral:rRNA from 1 species
CAAGGCGGUGGAGCAUUGUGUUAAUUCGACGACAACGCGAACGAACCUUACCGAGGGCUUGACACUCCCCUGACCGCGUAUGAAAGUACGUUUUCCACCCUCGGGUGACAGGGAGACAGGUGGUGCAUGGUUGUCGUCAGCUCGUGUCGUGAGAUGUUGGGUUAAGUCCCGCAACGAGCGCAACCCCUACGUUUAGUUGCUAACGCGUGAAGGCGAGCACUCUAGACGAACUGCCGUUGACAAAACGGAGGAAGGUGGGGAUGACGUCAAAUCAUCAUGCCCCUUAUGUUCUGGGCUACACACGUGCUACAAUGGCCGGUACAGACGGACGCAAAGCCGCGAGGUGGAGCAAAUCCUAAAAAGCCGGUCUCAGUUCGGAUUGCAGGCUGCAAUUCGCCUGCAUGAAGUCGGAAUCGCUAGUAAUCGCAGGUCAGCAUACUGCGGUGAAUACGUUCCCGGGCCUU